rnacentral:lncRNA from 1 species
AAGAACACUUUUUGACUUUCUAUUACAUCUAAAGACACUUCUUACAUGUGACAUACUUUGUUGUGGGCCAAUGACAGAUUAUGAACAAUUUUACCCUUAAUGAAAACCACACUUGUGGACACUCAGGUAAAAUGUGGAUGCGUGAUUUGUGGACGGUGUGGAUGGGUGAUUUGUAGAUGGAAUAUACGAGUAAUGUGUGGAUGAGUGAUGACUUGGUAAGCUUUAAGGAGAACACAUAUACUACUUGUUUUUACUCCGUUGCCUAAUCCACUCACAACACUUCCUAUUAUUAGCACGUACUUCAUCUUCUUCCUUCUUGUUUCUCUGCUUUUUCAAUCGAAUAAAAAAUUAACUUAUCCUGCACAGAAGUCAAAUCAAC